rnacentral:tRNA from 1 species
GGGGUCGUAGCCUAGCCAGGUAUGGCGACAGGAUACAUCACAUGAUCACCGCUAAGGGCUCCAGUGGUUCAACAAGCUUCACUGACGCAAGGAUGAUGUAACAGUUUGGAGCUGUAGUGACCCGUGUGUCGCCGGUUCAACUCCGGUCGGCCCCACCA